AAAAUAGGCCUCCGGCACCACACUCAUCAGGCGAAGGUAACGUAUCGUUUGAUUCUUUUGCAGUUUCCGUUAUGUUUAAAUUCGCUACUUUUAUAAUUUCUGGCUCUAUUAAAUCUGGGGCUUCGAUGAUUUGAUUUUUUAUCGGUAAUGCUGUUGUAAUUGUUAUUAAUGUUAAAUAACAUAUUGUUCGUAUCACACUCAUUUUCACAACUUUCAUUUUUACUAAGUAAUAUAUUUCAUCGGCACAAAAUUUGAUAACACCGAAGCAGACUUGAUUACUUAGAUACUUGAUGUCCACUACAUCAUGAUUGAUAAAAAACUAAGAGUGGGAAAGUUCCGCAAUAAACUUAUAUUUGGAGGGCGAGAGUUUUAGUUUAGAUAAUACAAGAUUGUGUACACUUCGUGCCAAAUAAAAUUACACAACAUGUUACGAUAAAAACUGA